rnacentral:lncRNA from 1 species
GGGGCUGCCUGCCAGCCAGUUGCGCGCUCGUUUGUCUGAUUUGAAUUUGAUUUGAAUCUUUGCAAUUUAGAAUCUCGGAACAUGCCGCAAGUGGCGAGCAACUAAGAUACCUUGUAUACAUCCUCGGGGUCGUAUCAUAAGUAAUGCAUGAGUUGUCUCGCAUAUUGACCCCCAAAGCUUGUUGCAUGAUGGCCAUCCCCAGCCUGCCUGCAAUCAGACGAGGGGCGUGCGUGACUCUCGUACGUGAUGGUCAAGUAAAUUAUAGGCCAAAACCCAAACGGCCUCAUUCGUUUUGGUGCCGUGGCUGGGAGGUGAAUUUGUCGGGCCGCCUGCAGGUAGUCAAAAGUACUUUACCGACAAGUUGUUGCAUAAUUCGAGGCGCCACGGCCAUGCGAUGCCAUGCCAGGUUAUCCGAGUCCAUCAAAGUUGCACUUGCAGCCAAAACCCAAAGCCAAAGUGACAAACACAAGACAACACAUGCCACCCAGCCCCGCAGUCAUUAAACUUUAUUAAGAAAUUUCUGCCAACUCUUUGGCCCCAAGUGUGUGUCGGGUGCACUGAGAAAAAAGUACAAGAAACAAAAUCCCGAAGUUUUGUCUGCAAAAAUACAAUUCGUGCUCAGUGUGUGGGUGUUUGGCUGUGCUUCGAUUUUCUUUGGGGAUUCUAUUUGCCCCAUUGACAAUACGUGAGUCAGGCAACAGGCAGCUCUAGAAGAAGCAGUAGAAAAAGCAGUGGAAGCAGUAGACGAAGAAGCAGUAGAAAAAGCAAGCAGAAGAAGCAGCACAAACUUCAGCAGCAGGCGACGAAAUGUUUUGGUUUUGUGGCUUUUGCAAUUUGCCAAAGUUCGUUUUGGAUUUUAACUUGAAUUGGGGUUUUCAGGUUGUGGGGCUUAGUGAGAUGCGUUGCGG